GACGAACGCUGGCGGCGUGCUUAACACAUGCAAGUCGAACGGUAAGGCCCUUCGGGGUACGCGAGUGGCGAACGGGUGAGUAACACGUGGGUGAUCUGCCCUGCACUUCGGGAUAAGCCUGGGAAACUGGGUCUAAUACCGGAUAGGACUCCGGACUGCAUGGUCUGGGGUGGAAAGCUUUUGCGGUGGGGGAUGGGCCCGCGGCCUAUCAGCUUGUUGGUGGGGUGAUGGCCUACCAAGGCGACGACGGGUAGCCGGCCUGGGAGGGUGGCCGGCCACGCUGGGACUGGGAUACGGCCCAGACUCCGACGGGAGGCAGCAGUGGGGAAUAUUGCACAAUGGGCGCAAGCCUGAUGCAGCGACGCCGCGUGAGGGGUGACGGCCGUCGGGUUGUAAACCUCUUUCAGCAUCGACGAAGCGAAAGUGACGGUAGGUGCAGAAGAAGGACCGGCCAACUACGUGCCAGCAGCCGCGGUAA
rnacentral:rRNA from 1 species